rnacentral:rRNA from 1 species
UGUAUAAUGGGUCAGCGACUUAUAUUCUGUAGCAAGGUUAACCGAAUAGGGGAGCCGAAGGGAAACCGAGUCUUAACUGGGCGUUAAGUUGCAGGGUAUAGACCCGAAACCCGGUGAUCUAGCCAUGGGCAGGUUGAAGGUUGGGUAACACUAACUGGAGGACCGAACCGACUAAUGUUGAAAAAUUAGCGGAUGACUUGUGGCUGGGGGUGAAAGGCCAAUCAAACCGGGAGAUAGCUGGUUCUCCCCGAAAGCUAUUUAGGUAGCGCCUCGUGAAUUCAUCUCCGGGGGUAGAGCACUGUUUCGGCUAGGGGGCCAUCCCGGCUUACCAACCCGAUGCAAACUGCGAAUACCGGAGAAUGUUAUCACGGGAGACACACGGCGGGUGCUAACGUCCGUCGUGAAGAGGGAAACAACCCAGACCGCCAGCUAAGGUCCCAAAGUCAUGGUUAAGUGGGAAACGAUGUGGGAAGGCUCAGACAGCCAGGAUGUUGGCUUAGAAGCAGCCAUCAUUUAAAGAAAGCGUAAUAGCUCACUGGUCGAGUCGGCCUGCGCGGAAGAUGUAACGGGGCUAAACCAUGCACCGAAGCUGCGGCAGCGACACUAAGUGUUGUUGGGUAGGGGAGCGUUCUGUAAGCCUGUGAAGGUGUGCUGUGAGGCAUGCUGGAGGUAUCAGAAGUGCGAAUGCUGACAUAAGUAACGAUAAAGCGGGUGAAAAGCCCGCUCGCCGGAAGACCAAGGGUUCCUGUCCAACGUUAAUCGGGGCAGGGUGAGUCGACCCCUAAGGCGAGGCCGAAAGGCGUAGUCGAUGGGAAACAGGUUAAUAUUCCUGUACCAGGUGUUACUGCGAAGGGGGGACGGAGAAGGCUAUGUUGGCCGGGCGACGGUUGUCCCGGUUUAAGCGUGUAGGUGUGUGUUCCAGGUAAAUCCGGUUCACUUUAACACUGAGGCGUGAUGA